rnacentral:rRNA from 2 species
CGAAAGGGGAACAGCCCAGACCAUCAGUUAAGGUCCCUAAAUGUAUGCUAAGUGGAAAAGGAUGUGGAGUUGCAUAGACAACUAGGAUGUUGGCUCAGAAGCAGCCACCAUUUAAAGAGUGCGUAAUAGCUCACUAGUCGAGUGAUCCUGCGCCGAAAAUGUACCGGGGCUAAGCAUACUACCGAAACCAUGGAUGCGACCAUUAGGUCGCGUGAUAGGAGAGCGUUCUAAGGGCGGUGAAGCAAGAUCGUGAGGACUUGUGGAGCGCUUAGAAGUGAGAAUGCCGGUAUGAGUAGCGAAAGAUAGGUGAGAAUCCUAUCCACCGAAUGACUAAGGUUUCCUGGGGAAGGCUCGUCCUCCCAGGGUUAGUCGGGACCUAAGUCGAGGCCGAGAGGCGUAGACGAUGGAUAACAGGUUGAGAUUCCUGUACUAGUUAAGUGCGUUUGAGCAAUGGAGGGACGCAGGAGGCUAAGAUGUGCAUUCUGUUGGAUUAGAAUGUCCAAGCAGUAAGUCUUGUG